UGCCAGCGGUCCGGCCGGGAACUCAAAGGAGACUGCCAGUGAUAAACUGGAGGAAGGUGGGGAUGACGUCAAGUCAUCAUGGCCCUUACGACCAGGGCUACACACGUGCUACAAUGGCGCAUACAAAGAGAAGCGACCUCGCGAGAGCAAGCGGACCUCAUAAAGUGCGUCGUAGUCCGGAUUGGAGUCUGCAACUCGACUCCAUGAAGUCGGAAUCGCUAGUAAUCGUGGAUCAGAAUGCCACGGUGAAUACGUUCCCGGGCCUUGUACACACCGCCCGUCACACCAUGGGAGUGGGUUGCAAAAGAAGUAGGUAGCUUAACCUUCGGGAGGGCGCUUACCACUUUGUGAUUCAUGACUGGGGUGAAGUCGUAACAAGGUAACCGUAGGGGAACCUGUGGUUGGAUCACCUCCUUACCUUAAAGAAGC
rnacentral:rRNA from 1 species